UACAGAGGUGCCAAGCGUUUAGGCGGAAUCACUGGGCUUAAAGCGCGUGUAGGUGGGUCGUUAAGUGUCCGCGUGAAAUCCCACGGCUCAACCGUGGAACUGCCGGGCAUACUGGCGAUCUUGAGGCAUUCAGGGGCGAGCGGAACAAGUGGUGGAGCGGUGAAAUGCGUAGAUAUCAGGAGGAACACCGGUGGCGAAGGCGGCUAUCUGGACAGAAACUGACGCUGAGGCGCGAAAGCUAGGGGAGCAAACAGG
rnacentral:rRNA from 1 species